UCGGUCAGCUAAACUGGGCUGAAUUUGCACGCACGCCUUCAUGUUGCCGCUCUCCCAGUGCCUGCAGGAUCACUGGAGCUGCGGUGACGUCCUGGGAAGAGCUGCUGCGAAUGCUUCGGAGGGUUUUCAGUCCAGUCAUGCCAACUUAGUUGAGAAGGGCACUCUCCCCACCACUACCAUGUCGGCAGCCAAACUUCUUCUCCUUUCUCCCUUCCAUCCUCCUCCUGGGAAGUUUUCUCCUUGUUUUGAGGGCAUAGCUGGCACAUCCAAAUGGCUCGGAGUUACGAAGGUGCCCUCUGCUUUCGCCGAGGGAUGGGAGCUGAAGCGCAGGAAGGGGCUCGUGGAAAGCUGUUCUGCCGUUUGCGGUGCUGUUCUGUCCUGCACAAUGGAGCUGCGUUGUCACGUCCUUAGAUCAGAGCUAAUUUUUUGCCCUGAGUAAGAGGACACCAAUCUGUCAUUCAUCUGUUUCCAAGGCUUUGGCUAAACCAUGAACUGCUUCAAAAGCGCCUGAAGAGUUUAGAAAGUCUGAAGUCUUCCCUUCAAGAACGAGUAUCUCUUUUCAGAGUCACAGGAUCUGAUAUUUGGAGGUGCUAGACAGGCUGCGAGACCAGAGUGGCAGGUGUCAUUCAUCCCUGAAGACUGACCUCCCCAUUCCCUCAUCUCUGAAAACGGGGCUUCCAAAAGUAUCACUUCUCCAACGCAGGUCUCACCUGCAGCUCACACAGGCUCAAUGGUUGCCCAUCACCCGGACUGUGUCUACAGAGUAGAUCUUUAAACAUGUGAAAGAUAGUUUGGUGCUUAACUCCCAGACUGACUCUUACUUGUCGUUUGUCUUUUCCCUUUAAAUGUUUGGUUCAGUCUGCUGUUGCUCCAGAAAGGAUCUGAUGGAUUCUUAGGAGAAGUGAAAGAGAGUGAGUAGAACGGAUUAAUUAGCUGUCAGAACUAGUUAACUGCCAGAAAUAAUGGAAAAUACCGGCUUCCUCCAAACAUCUAAAUCUUUCUGUAAGAUUCCCUUUAGUUAAGCAUGUAUUAUUGCACUCAUGAGUGCGGGAGUAAGUGGAUGCAAAUUCUCUGCCCAGGAGGUUAAACGGGAUGAUCCAGUAGUUGCUGCCAGCCUGACGAGCUAGUUGUCAGUCAGUUGCAAGGUUUUAUGCUAGUGCCUGUCACCAUAGCAGCCGGAGCACCCUGCGUACAAAAUCAAUAGUAAUCGCAAAAUCCCUGGUGGACUUGACACCUUGACACAGGUUUAGGAGCCUUGCGCUAGGCAAAAGCGUCUCUCCCGGGGUUCACUCUGAGUAACAGGUGUUUGUAUUGCUGUUGCUCUUCUGCUUCAGUUACAUGUGUUUUUUUCAUCAGGCUUCCCAUGCUGUCUUCAGAAUCUGACUCUCCUUGUUUGCUGCACAGCUUAUACUGUGACACUGAGGUUAUUUGGUGGGUAAUUGUGGCCGAAUCCUCCACACGCAGAUGCUCUUAACUGUGCAGUAAAUAUGGUUCGUGGCUCAGAGCUGAUUGAAAGUCUUCAGCUCCUGCUGCCUUUGUACUGCUGCUGAGGUUUAGCGUUUACCUUUGACAUCUAAAAUUUACUCUUCCAUCACCCUCGUUUACCUGCAGAGAGAGCACACCAUGUGUGACAAGACUGGGCAGAUGGUGACAGGUCAGAAGGCUUGCAGGUCGAAGCACUCGUCUUUGAACGUCUGUGCUGGCCCAAGACAGCUCAGUGAAGUACACCUUCCUUUGUAAAAACAACGUCCCCUCCUCAGAGGCGACGUUGCUUCCCUUUAGCCCAAGACGCUGAUUCUUCUCUGCAUCAUCUCUGGCUAUUUCUUGUCUGGAGAGAAGCACUCACUUGCAAAGAUGUUUUGCAAGUGAGAUGUGAUGCUUUUUCAGUUAAUGUGGAUUUUAUGUCACCUCGUGUGGUUGUAGAGAAGCAGGCUCAAGAAGCCAUGACCUCAUGUGGUGUCAGGGGAUCAAAUUGGUGCCGAAGCCCUGUCCUGGUGUUAGGGCACCUGGGUUCUGUUCCCAGCCGUGUCUCCAGGAGGAGGCUGAGGAGGCAUUGCCACGUGGUUGCCCGUCCUUACGCUGCUCAAAGGCAGUGACUUGCUGUGACUGCAGGAGGCAGGGAGGUGGCGGGAUGGGUGAACCUUCGCUCUGCCCUGGUCCAGCUGUUCUUAAUGUCUUUCGGGUGUGAUGUGCCCUUUUUCCAGGAGCGUUUAUCUCUCAGAUAUAUGCACUGUUCAGUUCAAAGCUGACAGGUAGAAUUUACACUUCUAAUACAGUUACACUGUAGAUGCUAUACAUGCUUUUGUAGAAAAAUCUGGUUGCCAAAGAAAAAACAUUCUUUGCAGGACAGCAGUUAGCAAUUAGAAUAGUGAGUCUUGCAGUGUUUCUUGAGUACUUUUUUUUUACCAACUGUGUUGUUUGGCUAUUGUGGCUUUUGUGGAUAGAGCUACGUUGGUGAUAGAUCAAGAACUGGAGUGUUUUUACCUUAUUUUAAUAAUGAAAACUUCCUGUGACCUUACCAGGUAUUUUGUUAGCUUUUAUGCCCGUCCUUUGUCUUUGAUUAGCUGAUUUACCAAAUUUGAUGCUUUCUUGUUUGCUCCCUGGAAUUAAGUAGAGGGAGGGUUGCUUUCUUUAAAGUUAUGUUUUUGGUCAGCGUUAACAAGGCUAGAUGGAACGCCUCUUGCACAAAGCACUGCAUUUUUUUUUUUGGAAACGUGCAUUUGUCUGCUCCUUUACUUUUUGUCAAGUUGUUAUUGUCAGCCCUGUUUCCACCUACUCUGAUGUCUGAUGCCAGUUUCUGCCUCGGGCUGCUCUUCGUCUAGCAGCCACACAGAGGGUCUGCUGCCCAGACAGCUGCUCCCCUGCUUAUAUCAGUGCUUCCAUUUCCCCCUCUUCUCUACCCUCCAGCUCGUUUCUGGAGAGGACUGGCUCAGCAGAGGGGGACUCUGAGAACAGGGUUUGGCAUCCCUUGCCCAGCAUGGUGUGCUGUGGUUACCCCGUGCUGUCAAACAUGCACGUUCUCCUUUUCAGCAGGGUUGAGCAUUUGCUUUGCAACGUCUGCACGUGGAAGAAAGCAGGACAGCUAUGUGGACAAGUAGUGCAAGUGGUUCAUGAGGCGUGGAGGAAGAGGGAAUCACCCUUGGGCUUCCACAGGAACUGUGCUUUAAAUCAGUGCUUCUGAAAAAGCCCUGGAGCAGAGGAGCACGGUAUUUACGGGCUCCUCUGGAGCAUACUUCGCUGGGGUGUUCACAGGCUCAUCUCACAGGAGCAACACCUUUUCGGGGCCUUCCCCAUAAGUCCUGUUGACGUUCUGCCAAAGGGGCCAGCUCGGGACUCGCCGCUGUGUCGUGGCGGAUCCUGACGAUGUUUCUCCUCGUUUGGCAGCGGCAGCACGGGGCCCUUAUGGCCCGUGCCACAGACAGGCUGUCUGGGCACAGCAUGUUUGUAACAAGCUGUGGGUGCUCAGGGCUUUUCUUUCCCCGAAUAGUUUUUCCUGAAUAGUUGCAUUUUUGGACACUGCUCAGAACUAGAAAAAUUCCUUAAAUUCAUCCCCACUCUUAAUCCAAAUUAAUUCGUGUGUGUAGACAAGUCCUCAGGCUACAGUCUUCUCCCUCCUUUUGCUCUCGCAGCUUCGUAGCAUCUGGGCAGAGUUAAUGAAACUGGACAUCCCUGGUUUUUAAAAGCUCUGUUCUCAGGAUUAUGCUCUUCUAUUGUCAAGUUAAUAAAAUGUUCCAGUUUUGAUGUCCUUCCCUUGCUAAAUUGUUUAUGGGCGACUGUAAAAGCCUGCUCCCCCCCCCCUCCCCCCAGUCUCUUCAUUUGCUUCCCUCCCCAUUUCGUCUCCUCUUGUGAGAUGACAGAUGCACAGUGUCAAAGCCACAGAGCUGUUUAAAAAGAUAAUGGGUUUGGCAGAAAGGGGCAGAGCUGUAGCUUUUUAGCAUGUAAUUUUAUGGACACAAGUGUGAUAAAGAGAGCUGCAGUAAUUUUUAUGCUUGGGUUAAGUUCAUGAUUGAGCGGCCCUUAUCAGAGUGGAGACAUCUUGGCCCUUCAGUAAAGUUUAAAGGCUGUGACUUUUGGAAGGAAGAAAUGGGGCUUUGGGGCCAAAUUGAGAUUCUUUAGAAAGGUGUGGUAGCAGGACUGGUACAUUUACCCUGCUUUAAUCCAGCAGGCUUGGAUGACUGCAGCAGUCACAGGAGCUGCACAUCGAGCUUAAUAGGGUCUUAGAGACCCAAAUGCAGCCAUAGCUUGGCCUGUACCCAGAAAUACUUGACACCUGCAAGAGCCACCAGCAGAGAGCAUGAAACCCUGAUACUGCUGGAACCACUGAGGUUUCCUGCUGAGCUCAGCAUCACCAAGACUUCUAGGCUGGAGCCGCUGACAAAGCCAGAUGCAGAGAAGAGGAGAUGCAUUAAAGGGAUAGCUGCUCCCUCCACCCACCCCAGACACUUUCCUGGGGACUUCCAGGCAUAGCUCGCGAGCAGUAAAUUGUUCAGUGAACUCAAACUGCUCUCCAUACGCCUGCAGCUGAAAACAGCCCGAACUGCCGCAGCAGCACAACCAGCCGCUCCAGAGUGGGAUCCCAAGGGAGCAGGAAUAGCUGCUAGAGCGGUAAAAAGGUAGAACCACCUUUAUUGAUUUGAUUGCCCUUGAAAGGAGGACCCCCCCACACACACCCUCUUCCUUUUAUUUAAAGGAAAGUGCUUGACGCUCUGCUUUCUGCUCUCUGGGGUAAAAGGGCUGGAAUGUAGGAAUCCUACAUUUUAAUGAUCUUUUUCCCUUUAUAUUUGGCAUUUGGAGGGUAACUUUUACUACAGAAGAAAUUUAGAGGCUGCUCAUGCAGUGUAGGCUGACAAAUUCCCAGGUGAUGUGUGACAGCUUCCAAGGAGCUUGCACAGUCUCCUCAGUGCUUCAGACAAUGUUGAUAUUUCUAGAAGAGCCAGGGAAUGAUUUUUCUUUCAUCUUCUCUAAUUUUAAAACCUUUUUUGCUCUUAAAGAAAAAAGGGGCAGAAGACAAUAAGCAUCGUGCUUGUAUGAGGACAUAUGCAACCUAGAGGAAACCAAGCCAUCAUCAGAGAUGCACAGAGGCAGUACAAGGUAAAAGAGACCUGGCCCUGCAGAGGGGGGGACCUGGUGAACGCAGCAGGCUUGGGGUCCUCUGAGGUGUUUGCUCACCUGGAAGAACCUCGCUGUCCAAACUUGGGCUGUUUCUUUUCUGUGCGUUGUUUAUUCCUCCACAGCUGCUUCCAUUGUUCUAAAUGCAGAAGUUACAAUUUUUAGGAGAAGCAUGUAGCAACCCCCUCUCACAUCCAGCGCUCGGUAAAACUGGAAAGGAAAGGAGUUAAAUUGCUCAUUGGUCUUUAAUGUGAAGCAGAUUUCCAGUUUGUCUUCUGAAGAUGUGAAAUAAACAGGGUUAGAUAAGCUGCAGAGGACAUGGACAAGAGGCCGCAAAUGACCAUGUGGCAGAGGUAGCAGUGUCAUAUUUCACAUAAGCAAGAGCUGCAGUUUAAGAAAUCGGGGGGGGGGGGGUUGUUUGUUUCUUUGUUUGUGUCUUUCAAGAUAAAAACAAACUGGCUGAGUGAAUUAUUGGCCUUCAGGGCGGGGAACGAAAUAUCGAAUUGCGUUUUUGAAGCAGUGUUCAGCAGCAGCUUUGCUCUGCGCUCUCCUGGGCUGGAGUGAACGGAGGCAUUCAGCUGCACUCUUGCUCUUGCCCGUGCAGUUCCGUGCAGGGGCUUGCUUUCCCGUUCCUGCACAGCACACACAAACCUGCACUGCUAGAGGCCCUACAGCAGCUGCAGGAUGAGCCUGGGGCACUUCAAAAUCAUGUUGAGAAGCAUUUGCCCCAGAGUAACCAACAGCUCCACAGUUGAGGGGACGAGGUGGCCACAAACCAAGUGAUAGCUGCCGCUGAAAUGCCUGUGUCUCGGGCCCACCAAAGCAAAGGGCAGAGGACUUGACUCCCAAUUCCUAGGCACAAAACACUUCACUGGCUGGGAUGUUGAGCACUUCUGGUAACAGAUCCUGUCCUAAACAGGUGGUAACACUGGGGAUAGUUUCCUGCAGCCUUUCAACAUGAAGAGUUUUGCAGAAUUGCAAUUUGGGAUUGCCGGCACUCGACACCACAGUUUGCAGAAAUGACCAGGUGUAUUGCUGCUUCUAUGAUACAAAAUGAGCCUUUUUGAUCUUCAAAAGAAAAAAUAAAAUCAUGAAGGCCAAGACACCUGAAGAAUCCAGGAAUGCUCUGCUGUUCUGCACCACUCCCUUCCUGCUCUCUGAAUUGAGACAGCAGUAACGACAGCUUCAGCAGCUGCAAGGGUCACCUUACGGUGUCUGUUUAUACUGAUGCGGACAAGCUUGGGCUGCCUGCUGUGCUCAUGCUGGCUUGCAGGGAGAGGAGGCAGCCGUUCAAUAGCAAUCCAUCAGUCACUGAUGGGUGUCUGAGUGUGGAGGAGGUGGAGGAAUCCACAAUGAGAGCAAGGCAGGGGAAGUGCCCUAGAAUUGGAUUUCUGUAGCCGCGCGAGCCCUGCCUGAGCCCAGGGUGGAGCAGCAGUGGUGGCGAGAUGAAAAUUCUCAAAUUCUGUGAGCAAUCACAAAUCAGCCAUUCUCUGGGGUAGCAUGACUAGCGGAGUGGUCUCUCUUAAGAGACCGCUGCAAGAGCUAGAUGGUGAAAUUCUGGCUCCAGGGUUUUGUUCCUCCAUUUGAGGAGCAGCAUGGCCCAGUGGUUGGAGCUGAGGCUGGUAGGUUUUGUAGGCAGCUUUUCGGAAGAGGAGGAGCACAGUGUCAUUUGUGAUGCUUGCGCUCUCUUCUCAGCUUUGUCACUGACAUUUCACAUUGCUGUUAAAUCACAUUUCAGAGUCUCAUCAUGAGACACCUGCAAGCUGUCUCGUCAGGGGCACAAUCCCGGAUUAGCAUUUGAAAAGCUCCUUGGGAAGACUGGGCUAGAGAUGGGCCAAGUGUUUGCUUUCUGUGGCUGGCCAUGUGCAGCGGGGGGCUGCCGGGGUGCCGCAGCCCUCGAGAAGUGGCUGUGCGAGACUUCGUGAGCCCCAGGGCUGGGGUGCUGAAGGCAGGCGGGGGCAAAGCCCAUCGCUUUGCUCCUUCACCUGCUGUUUGCGUAGGUAAAACCUGAGUGUUUUCAAAGCUCUUCUAAUCAGCCGCGUAGGCUUGGGCUGCCCAGGACAAGACUCUUCAUGUUUCUCAGAGGUGGAGGUUUUGUUGCAGCCUUGCUUGAAAGAUCCAGUGGGCGAUGGGGCCCCGGGGCCCUGGGGCUGCGGGCGGGCGGGCGAGGAUCGCCUCACCCUGGCGAGCCGGAGCAGCAGUGGCUGUGUGUGUCCCGGUGUGGAUGUGCUCUCGCUUGUUUAGUAAGCCGUUUGCUCUGACAGGCACUGAAUGCUUUAUUAAUACAGUGUCAUGUUUUUGAGGGGCAAGAUCUUAGUUCAGCUGCAGCAUGAACGUUCGAGUCCAGCUGUGGCUUGCUUUUUAUCUGGCACAUACUCAGUAAUCCCUCCUGCUUCUUUGCAGAAGAGGGCCUCUGAGAACAAGAAGGGACUCAUUCUCCAUUUUCAUGCAUUUUAAAUCCCCAAACAAACCUAUUCCCAGUAAGGACAAGGACUCUGCUAAUAGGUAAUUAACCCAAAAUACUUGCAUCAAAGAUAUCUUGCAUAAUCUUGGAAUAAUUUGAUGAAACUCAAUCUAUUCUGAGCGUGAGCAUCCACCCCAUUUUUGUUUGCUUGUAGUGUCUGCUUAUGUGCUGCAUUUGCUAUUGCUUUUGUACCUUCCUCCCUCUCCAAGGCAUCAACAAAUGCAUGAGGCCAUAUGUGCUUUUUUUUAAAAAGGAAACUGAUUUUCUUGUCUGCACUUGGACAUGUUGCCUUGGCUUUCACACUCACAGGAACUAGACUGAUUUCAGAGAUCAGAUCAAUAUAAUGUUAGAUCCGUACAAGCUUUUGCAUAGGGCUGAAUUUGGAAGCUUUGGGGAUUGGUUUGCAAAGUGACUGUUGUGCUAAAUCAUUCUGUGUAUGCACGCGCACACAGUUUGUCAUUCUGCGUGUGUGUUGCCUAGAUCAAAUCUUGUGGUUGCUUUACCAAGCGGACAGGGAGAUGGGAUGCGAAGGUAUUUAUGGCAGUAUUAUCCGGGUGCCUCUUGGAUUGUAGGCAAAGAAAAAUUGGAGCUGAGCACAAGUAAGUUGGAGGCAAAAAGUGAGGAUCUAAAGCCUGGAAAAAUAUCCCUAGUGUUAGUGGAUUCGGGGCGACUGUGCGGUCAGUUGGGUGGCUGUUCUUAGCUCAGAACGAGGUCCUGAUGUACUCAUUACAUGUGCUCUGCAUCUCUGGCUCUCCUCCUGCUUUCUUCCUUGUCAGAGGGGCUGGAUUUCCUCUUCACAGGCUGCUUGGAUCUAAUGUAUAAACCGCCUCUGUGCUUGCAGAAGGAGGAGCCUCUACCCCAGGGCGCAUGUUGGCACAUCGUCUUCUGUCUGCCCUAGGGUUGCCGGAGCCUCUCCUCCCUGCCCCCUCCAAGCAGAUCCCGGCCUCCGGGGCCGCUCCGUGUCUGGAUGCGGCUGUGCAUCUUUCCAGGGGGGUGCUCAGCCCCUCUGCACUACUGCAGUGUAUAAAUGCUGAGAGCAUUUGGCCUACAUUGGCUUCUAAUUGUCUUUUGUGUCUUUGGAAAGUAGACAGAAACCUAAUGGAGGAUUUUUCUUGGUGCAAGCCUUGAGUUUCGUUUGUGUCCUGCAAAUAUGGUUGUUUUAAAAAGGUAACCCUUCACAAUCCUUUAAUGGGUUCAGACCGGAGAAACCGCUAGCAGGCUGUGAUGAAUGCAGCUUGUUUGGUUUGCCUGUUGGUAAAUGAAAAGGGGAAGGGCUGUCUCACACUGCAGGGAGAAGAUUGCCUGGGCUUAUCAGCGGAGAUAAUAGAUUUGUACAAAGAACUUGGCAGCCUCGCUUCUGGCCUCGGCACAAGAAUCCAGCAGUGACUCAGCCCUUCUAGCAGCGAGCUCCGAGGUCGCUUGCCGUCGCUCUGCUCCGAGCGCCGCGUCUUGCUUGCCUCGCAGAGCCUGCGCCUAGGAGAGGUGAUCUCACAGCAAUGGAGAAAAUCCCCCUUUAUUACCUGCCUCGGUGGGUCUCUGUCACGCUCCUACUUGGCUGCUGAAGAGGCAUCUGCAGAACGAGUCUGAAGGAGACCUCAGCCUGGCUCAUGUGUCUAAUUGAUGCCGCUGUGAAAUUACAGCCCUGCGCGUUGUGAAAAAUGCAGCGUGCCGCUGUGAAAGCGUACAGGGUGUUGUCAGUCUGGGCCCCAGCUUUGCCACAGCAAAGGAGGGAACGUAAUUACCGGGCUGUAGCAGGGUCACGGUUGUGGCUGUGGGCUUGGACGGCUGCUGGCCUUGAACAGUGUCUUCAAACACCUGAGAGGCACGAUGCAAAGAAAACAGUCAGGGCCCUGGGGAGCUUGGCAGAUACUAGCCCUGGACCUGGGAGCUGGGCUCAGUAGGAAGAGAGAGGAAAAAAUCUUAUUAGAAUUAUUUCCAAGUCUGUUCUGAUCAACUUUAAAAUGUGUGAAGGGAGAGAAGCUGCUGCUGCCUGCCGUGCAGAAGCGGGACUGGCACUGCGCAAGCACACGCACUUCCCACGUGCUCUGCAGGGCUCGUGCGUGUCCCCGCUGCAUAGCCAGGCUGCAAGCGGAGGGGACAGACAGGUCCGGUCCGCGUCCCUGCCUCCUGUCCCCGGUGCUUCCUUUCAGCUGUCGCUGGGUCUGGGGAAGGCAGCACUGGGGCUGAGGGCAGCCUGGGCCUGCCCCAACGCCGUGCUGGCUGCGAAGCGGCUUCCCUGGGUCAGGCCUCGCCAUGCCACGGCCUGGGCAGAAGCGGGGAAAGGGGGACUUUGCGGCGCACGCUGCCGGAGGCGAAGGAUGGUCGUGGUGCUGGGGGUGCUUUCCAUCUCCCGGGUGCUGCCAGGCCACAGCUGUGCCGGCUUUUGUGCGAUAGCAGCGGGCAGACAAAUACCUUGGCACAGUUGAUGGCUUACCUGGUUCUGGUGGAAAUAGAUGCUUUGGGGAGGUUGGUACCGGCUGUGGGUGACUCUCCUGCUCUUACUACUCCCAAGGUCAAAUGAGGAGACAGCGGGACAAAUUCCCGCUACCUCGUGGCCAUCGCUGGGUGUUGCACUGCAGUGUGUCUGGCUGCGGUCUGGGCACCCGGGUGUCACCUCCGUGCUCCCUGGUGUUGGAGGGGGGCGUGGGGUGCUUGGGAGCAGCAGGGCCGCAAGGCUGUGGCUCUUCUGAUCACUGAAGAUGAGGAUCUGCCAAAUGAAAGGUCGAGGUAGAGCUCAGAAAACGAAGAGUUUUCUGCUGAUUCUGUGGCUUGGUGUGAGGUGAAGCCCAACGGAGAGAUGCUUCCUUGCACCCUGCGCGGUCAUUUUUACCAGAGCUGGCAAUGAACGGCACUCAGUUCAGCUUUACAUACAUUUUUCUGAGUAGGCAGCACAGAGGAAUGAAGCUGAGACUAUUCCUAGUCUUCCCUAAAAUUCUGGAGUUGAGUUCACUGGUACAAAGUGGUUGCAGAGUAGUACUAAAUCAAAAUGAGCGUGUUUGGUGUUUGGUUUGCCGUGUACUAGAUCACAGUAUAAGCCACGCAGCAGAAGAGAGCUUCAUCCACCUUUUACAGUACGUGGUGAAAUGCGUCUCUUAUUUCAGCGAUGCUCAGCAGUUGCUUGACAGCCACAUGCAAGAAGGAAGAAUCUGCUGUAGUUGAGUGACAUUUUGAGGAAAUUUAUAUUGAGGGGGAAGUGAGAGUUCAAAGUGAAUCAGAAAUGAAAUGGAAGUUUAAAGCUGUUGACACUGACAUGCUUUGGCUAAGAAAUGACUGCAUUUAGGUUGCACCUAUAAACCCUUCAGCAAUUCGGUCAAGGAAUUUGCAAACCAGCCCAGAGCUCUUGCUCUUUCUUGUCUCAUUAAAAGAGAGUUGCAUGAUUGCUUUUUCCUUCUAUGCCUCGCUCUGUGUAAUAAACCUGUUCUCUGACUACUUAAAA